CCGCCGGCUCCUUCCCUUUUAUAACCUCGUAGCCGCCGAGCGCACGCGCGUCCUUCCGGCGCGAGCCGGCCCUCCCAGGACGCUUUGCGGCGCGCGAGCUGCCGCGACGCCGCGGCCCCGACGGCAGCGGGGGGAGGGGAGGCGGAGCGAGGGCAGGCGGGCGCGCGCCUCCCGCCCCAAGAGGGCGGUUCGCCUGUGGGUUGGCUUGGGGUACUCUCGACCUCUGCGCCCGCCUCCCCGUUCCGGGUCGGCUUUGUGACGCCGCGCGCUCCGGCUUCCUCCCUCCCGCGCCUGGCCCGCCACUCCUGGGGGCGGCCGAGGGCAGCUGGGAAUGCGGACUGGCUGGGUGGGGCCGGCCGAGUCCUCGCGUCUAGCGCGCGUCCCCGCCGACUCGAGCUGCUGUCCCAGCGCGAGGUCUGGCGUCUCGGCCCCAGGACGCUGGUUUCGAGCAGAGCCAAAAUAAAGCUCGCUUUCAUCUUUCGGUUAUGUGGAAAACAACAUCCAGCGCCGUUUCGAAUAUAGAUAGGCGAGGCAUUUUGAAGCCGUUCGGGUCUCGGGGCAUUUAGGGAUGUGCAGGUGUUGAGAUGGUUGGAUGGCAUCACCGACUCAAUAGGCAUGAGUUUGAGUAAACUCCGGGAGCUGGUGAUGGACAGGGAGGCCUGGCAUGCUGCAGUCCAUGGGGUCACAAAGAGUUGGACAACUGAGCGACUGAACUGAACUGAACUGAACUGAGGCAGAGUCAACAGUCCCUCCCUCUCAGCCUACCCUACCCUCAUUGGUUUUCACAAGUUCCCUUCUCUCCUUUUCUCUCUGAAUCCUUCCUCCCUCUAGUCCAGCAAUUUGUCUCCUAAUAGUGAGAAGGCAGGUUUUUUUUUUAGUACGAUAUAUGCUAUUCUUAACUUCGUGGUCCGUGAUCUAUGCCCUGAACCUUCAUAUGCAAAGUAAACCUUAAAAUGUCUUUUAGGUCAAGCAUCUGGCUCCUUCAAAUAACAAAUAAUCCAGCUUUCAGCCCAAAAUGCUUUUAUUAUAAUUUUAACAAUCAAUUUUGAAAUCCAGGCUCUAUUUGAGUGCCCUCCAAAGCAACAUGGCUGGACUGCUACAGGGAAAAAAAAGAAAAGAAAAUUCUUGGUUUAAAAUGUCCAGAUAUCCAGUAUCCUUGCCUGGAAAAUCCCAUCGACAGAGGAGCCUGUGGGCUGCAGUUCAUGGGGUCACAAAGAGUGGGACAUGACUUAGAGACUGAGCACUCUACAGUAAUGCUAAUCUGAAAUUAUGUUAUUUGAGGAAAACCGCAAAUAACUCAAUUUACUAAGUUAUUAAGUACCCCAAACUAGCAAUCAUGUUUUCUCUAUAUUACAAAUAAAAGUAAUUUAUUUUUGAAUAGCUAGGAACAUUGAAAGGUCAUUUUUAUUUCUUAGACUGUUUAUAUAUAUACACACACACACAUAUAAUUUGAAGUCAUUAAAUGUAAAUCAUUAGCCUCUUU